ACGGAGGGUGCGAGCGUUAAUCGGAAUUACUGGGCGUAAAGCGUGCGUAGACGGCUAUCUAAGUCGGGUGUGAAAGCCCCGGGCUCAACCUGGGAAUUGCAUUCGAUACUGCCUGACUAGAGUAUGUUAGAGGGAAGUGGAAUUCCAGGUGUAGCGGUGAAAUGCGUAGAUAUCUGGAGGAACACCAAUGGCGAAGGCAACUUCCUGGGACAAUACUGACACUGAGGUGCGAAAGCAUGGGUAGCAAACAGGA
rnacentral:rRNA from 1 species